CAGUAGCCACGGUAAUACAGAGGGUGCGAGCGUUAAUCGGAUUUACUGGGCGUAAAGCGUGCGUAGGCGGCUUCUUAAGUCGGAUGUGAAAUCCCUGAGCUUAACUUAGGAAUUGCAUUCGAUACUGGGAAGCUAGAGUAUGGGAGAGGAUGGUAGAAUUCCAGGUGUAGCGGUGAAAUGCGUAGAGAUCUGGAGGAAUACCGAUGGCGAAGGCAGCCAUCUGGCCUAAUACUGACGCUGAGGUACGAAAGCAUGGGGAGCAAAUGGGAUUAGAUACCCCCGUAGUCCCUGUCUCUUAUAC
rnacentral:rRNA from 1 species